rnacentral:misc_RNA from 1 species
AACAUCAGUAGAACACGUUCUUCCCACAAAGAUGGCCAAGAAGCACCUCAAGCGCUUGUAUGCGCCCAAGGACUGGAUGCUGAGCAAGCUGACCGGCGUGUUCGCGCCGCGUCCGCGUCCGGGUCCGCACAAGCUGCGCGAGUGCCUGCCGCUGCUGGUGAUCAUCCGCAACCGGCUGAAGUACGCGCUGAACGCGCGCGAGGGUGAGAUGAUCCUGCGCCAGGGUCUGGUGCACGUGGACAACCACCCGCGCCGCGACGGCAAGUACCCCGCCGGUUUCAUGGACGUGGUCGAGAUCCCAAAGACGGGCGACCGCUUCCGCCUGAUGUACGACGUCAAGGGCCGCUUCGCGUUGGUGAGCCUGUCCGAGGCGGAGGCGCAGAUCAAGCUGAUGAAGGUGGUGAAUCUGUACACGGCCACCGGCCGCGUGCCGGUCGCCGUGACGCACGACGGCCACCGCAUCCGCUACCCGGACCCGCACACCUCCAUUGGUGACACCAUCGUGUACAACGUCAAGGAGAAGAAGUGCGUGGACCUGAUCAAGAACCGCCAGGGCAAGGCCGUGAUCGUGACCGGCGGCGCCAACCGCGGCCGCAUCGGCGAGAUCGUGAAGGUGGAGUGCCACCCCGGUGCGUUCAACAUUGCGCACCUGAAGGACGCGUCGGGCGCCGAGUUCGCCACCCGCGCCGCGAACAUCUUCGUGAUCGGCAAGGACCUGAACCACCUGCAGGUAACGGUGCCGAAGCAGCAGGGUCUGCGCAUGAAUGUGAUCCAGGAGCGCGAGGAGCGCCUGAUCGCGGCCGAGGCCCGCAAGAACGCGCCAGCUCGUGGUGCCCGCAAGGCCCGCAAGUGAGGAGGCGAUUACACGCGUGCGUGUGUGCGUGUUUGCGACUCUGAAGCGACUUAGCGGGUGGACUGUGAGGGUUCGAGAAGAGGUGCUUGAGGUGUGUGAAGCGCUUCUCCCCUCUCGGCCCUCUCUGUGCUUUUGCUGUGCCUUUCCCCAAAUCGCUUCACGUUAUUUGCAUGCAUCCGCGUAGGCGCGUGCGUGUGUGUCUGUCUCUUGGCCGGUCUCCCUCUCCCUCCCUCUCUCUGUGAGUGGGUGUGCGUGUGUCGCACGGGACGGGCUCCGCUUUAGUGGUUCUCUCGUGUUCUACAGCUGUUUUCCUUUCUCAGUUUAGCUGUUUUCGUUCGUUAUUUCCUCACGACCAACGCGCAAAAAGCGAAAGACGACAUGAGUAUAUCGUCCACCCCCCACCGGCGAGGACAGCGGCGAAGGGAUAAUGACGAUGAGGAUGGACUCUUGCGUGCAUGGGCCUGGCCCCCCUCCUCCUCUUCACGCCUCCACUGGCACAGUGCCCCGCUGCCUCCAGCAUCAACUCCAGCACGCAUCCCUGAACGCAUGUGAUGUUUGGUGUGCGUGUGCGUGUUUGAGCGUGGCGUUGGCUGUGACCAGGCAAACGAGAGGGAGGCGGCGGGCAGAGCGUUGGAGAAUCGCGACACGGGCAUUUUCCACUUAGACUCGUGGGCCGCGGUGUGGCUGGACCUGUGUGGAGAGGGGUCCACCUCCGCCUUCAUCUUUCCUUUCUCGCCCGCGCCUCCUAAACCGUCUCCAUGUCUGUGUUUCACGCUGACCGAUUUCUUUAUCCCCCUCCCUCCCUCUCUCUCGUCUCUUGCUCGGGUGUUUUUGCGUGUAUGGGUGUGCGAAUUGGUGCUACCACCGCGCUUAUCCGCCGUCUCCGCCUCUUCCGCUGCGCACCACGCAUUCCUCCCACCUCGAACCGCCCCACUCCCCACCCCUUCUUUCCACUCGGCGUACUCACCGCCGUCCUCUUCAG